rnacentral:rRNA from 1 species
AGGGCGCAGCUACACAUGCAGUCGAGCGGUAGCACAGAGAGCUUGCUCUCGGGUGACGAGCGGCGGACGGGUGAGUAAUGUCUGGGAAACUGCCUGAUGGAGGGGGAUAACUACUGGAAACGGUAGCUAAUACCGCAUAACGUCGCAAGACCAAAGUGGGGGACCUUCGGGCCUCAUGCCAUCAGAUGUGCCCAGAUGGGAUUAGCUAGUAGGUGGGGUAAUGGCUCACCUAGGCGACGAUCCCUAGCUGGUCUGAGAGGAUGACCAGCCACACUGGAACUGAGACACGGUCCAGACUCCUACGGGAGGCAGCAGUGGGGAAUAUUGCACAAUGGGCGCAAGCCUGAUGCAGCCAUGCCGCGUGUAUGAAGAAGGCCUUCGGGUUGUAAAGUACUUUCAGCGAGGAGGAAGGCGUUAAGGUUAAUAACCUUAGCGAUUGACGUUACUCGCAGAAGAAGCACCGGCUAACUCCGUGCCAGCAGCCGCGGUAAUACGGAGGGUGCAAGCGUUAAUCGGAAUUACUGGGCGUAAAGCGCACGCAGGCGGUCUGUCAAGUCGGAUGUGAAAUCCCCGGGCUCAACCUGGGAACUGCAUUCGAAACUGGCAGGCUAGAGUCUUGUAGAGGGGGGUAGAAUUCCAGGUGUAGCGGUGAAAUGCGUAGAGAUCUGGAGGAAUACCGGUGGCGAAGGCGGCCCCCUGGACAAAGACUGACGCUCAGGUGCGAAAGCGUGGGGAGCAAACAGGAUUAGAUACCCUGGUAGUCCACGCCGUAAACGAUGUCGACUUGGAGGUUGUGCCCUUGAGGCGUGGCUUCCGGAGCUAACGCGUUAAGUCGACCGCCUGGGGAGUACGGCCGCAAGGUUAAAACUCAAAUGAAUUGACGGGGGCCCGCACAAGCGGUGGAGCAUGUGGUUUAAUUCGAUGCAACGCGAAGAACCUUACCUACUCUUGACAUCCAGAGAACUUAGCAGAGAUGCUUUGGUGCCUUCGGGAACUCUGAGACAGGUGCUGCAUGGCUGUCGUCAGCUCGUGUUGUGAAAUGUUGGGUUAAGUCCCGCAACGAGCGCAACCCUUAUCCUUUGUUGCCAGUCGGUCCGGCCGGGAACUCAAAGGAGACUGCCAGUGAUAAACUGGAGGAAGGUGGGGAUGACGUCAAGUCAUCAUGGCCCUUACGAGUAGGGCUACACACGUGCUACAAUGGCAUAUACAAAGAGAAGCGACCUCGCGAGAGCAAGCGGACCUCAUAAAGUAUGUCGUAGUCCGGAUUGGAGUCUGCAACUCGACUCCAUGAAGUCGGAAUCGCUAGUAAUCGUAGAUCAGAAUGCUACGGUGAAUACGUUCCCGGGCCUUGUACACACCGCCCGUCACACCAUGGGAGUGGGUUGCAAAAGAAGUAGGUAGCUUAACCUUCGGGAGGGCGCUUACCACUUGGAAUCA